CGAACGCUGGCGGCGUGCCUAAUACAUGCAAGUUGAGCGAUGAAGAUUGGUGCUUGCACCAAUUUGAAGAGCAGCGAGCGGGUGAGUAACGCGUGGGGAAUCUGCCUUUGAGCGGGGGACAACAUUUGGAAACGAAUGCUAAUACCGCAUAACAACUUUAAACAUAAGUUUUAAGUUUGAAAGAUGCAAUUGCAUCACUCAAAGAUGAUCCCGCGUUGUAUUAGCUAGUUGGUGAGGUAAAGGCUCACCAAGGCGAUGAUACAUAGCCGACCUGAGAGGGUGAUCGGCCACAUUGGGACUGAGACACGGCCCAAACUCCUACGGGAGGCAGCAGUAGGGAAUCUUCGGCAAUGGACGAAAGUCUGACCGAGCAACGCCGCGUGAGUGAAGAAGGUUUUCGGAUCGUAAAACUCUGUUGGUAGAGAAGAACGUUGGUGAGAGUGGAAAGCUCAUCAAGUGACGGUAACUACCCAGAAAGGGACGGCUAACUACGUG
rnacentral:rRNA from 1 species